rnacentral:rRNA from 1 species
GAUGAACGCUAGCGAUAGGCUUAACACAUGCAAGUCGAGGGGCAGCAUGGUCUUAGCUUGCUAAGACUGAUGGCGACCGGCGCACGGGUGCGUAACGCGUAUGCAACUUGCCUCACAGAGGGGGAUAACCCGUCGAAAGACGGACUAAUACCGCGUACACUCCAUCUUGGGCAUCCAAGGUAGAGGAAAUGAAAUUCGCUGUGAGAUAGGCAUGCGUCCCAUUAGCUAGUUGGUGAGGUAACGGCUCACCAAGGCGACGAUGGGUAGGGGAACUGAGAGGUUGAACCCCCAUACUGGUACUGAGACACGGACCAGACUCCUACGGGAGGCAGCAGUGAGGAAUAUUGGUCAAUGGGCGAGAGCCUGAACCAGCCAAGUCGCGUGAAGGAUGACUGUCUUAUGGAUUGUAAACUUCUUUUAUACGGGAAUAACAAGAGUCACGUGUGACUCCCUGCAUGUACCGUAUGAAUAAGCAUCGGCUAACUCCGUG